AUACAUACCUGGCAGGGGAGAUACCAUGAUCACUAAGGUGGUUCUCCCAGGCCGAGGCUCAUCCAUUGAACUCCGGAUGUGCUGACCCCCGCGUUUUCCCUAAAUGCGGGAAACUAGACUGCAUAAUUUGUGGUAGAGGAGGGCUAUAUUCGCGCUCUCCCCUG